rnacentral:rRNA from 1 species
GACGGAGGGGGCAAGCGUUGCUCGGAAUCACUGGGCGUAAAGGGCGCGUAGGCGGGAUGGCAAGUCGGUCGUGAAAUCCUUCGGCUCAACCGAAGAACGUCGGCCGAUACUGCCGUUCUUGAGGGAUGCAGAGGAGAUUGGAAUUCCCGGUGUAGCGGUGAAAUGUGUAGAGAUCGGGAGGAACACCGGUGGCGAAGGCGGGUCUCUGGGCAUCUCCUGACGCUGAGGCGCGAAAGCCAGGGGAGCGAACGGG